CUCAAAGACACACAAACAGAAGCUAUUAUAUCUUCCAUACAAGAAACACAAUAUAAGGGAUGCCAAAGAAAAUCGAAAUGAGAUCUGAGGAAAAAGUGAGUGAAAUUUUGUGGAAGUGAUCCUGGUCAUGCUUUUCCACAGCUUUCUUGAACUUCUUUUUCUGCUAAUUAAUCUCUAGGAUUAACAGUAGUACCCCUAGAAGCUCAAGAAAGCUGUGGGAGAACAUGGCUAUUCAGGAUUUUGCUGGUGUUUCCUUCACAUGAUGAUAUUUCUGUUCAAGAUCUAGUACUACUUGGCUUUAGCCUGCAAUUCAAGGCGUCCUUGGCCAUCCUUUCGUCUGCAUGGAUUAUGGUAAUACUCGAAAUUCUCUGGUAAGUCAAAUACAUUCCAAUCACGGUAUUUUUCUUUGAUUAAUGUUUCGUAUAUUUCACUUGAAUUCUUACAUUUUCUGAAGGAAAAAAGGAUUUUGACGCUGAAAUACAAUGUGGGUUUUUAUCUUCCUUAUAUAUAAGCUUCUUAUUAACAGAAUUAAUUUGCAGCAAUAUAAGGGGGUUGCGGCCUGAUAUUAUAUCUUCCUUAUACCCAUGGAGAGAAGACGAAAUUCAUGAAUUCAAGUUUUUUCUUUUAUUCGUUACCAUUCUUCUUUUUUGUCAAAUCUACUGCUACACGUUUGAACCGUGCAUGAAAGAGGGCAGCUUUGGUGGAAAUUAUUUAUAUUUCUCAUUGAAGUUGUAAUAUACAAAAAAGGAUGAUCUCGAACAAAACACCAAACCCACUUAAUUACCACCUCAGGCGCUACAGCUAGUCAAGAGUCAAGAGAUUGAUCUGCAGCGCUUCUGGCCUGUAUCUAGUCAGCAACAUCGGAAUAUCAUUAAAGACAGAGAAAGUGACAAGAAAUUCUAAGCUAGCCUUGCUGCUGCAUUGUUGACUGGAUUCCACAUUACUAUAAGUUCUCUUGAAUAAUACAUGUCCUUCUUGACAAGAAUUUCUAGCUAGCUAGCUGCUUCUCUUACCGUAUGUAAUAGAUCUCAAGUAGAUCCAUCCAUGUUCAUGUUAUUAUCAUGGCCAUUAUGAAAAUAUAUAACAGGAUUAACGAUGGUAAUUUCUGGAUUA